rnacentral:rRNA from 1 species
GAUCAUGGCUCAGAUUGAACGCUGGCGGAAUGCUUUACACAUGCAAGUCGAACGGUAGAGGGGGCAACCCCUCGAGAGUGGCGAACGGGUGAGUAAUAUAUCGGAACGUGCCCAGUCGUGGGGGAUAACGUAGCGAAAGUUACGCUAAUACCGCAUACGAUCUACGGAUGAAANCGGGGGAUCGCAAGACCUCGCGCGAUUGGAGCGGCCGAUAUCAGAUUAGGUAGUUGGUGGGGUAAAGGCUCACCAAGCCAACGAUCUGUAGCUGGUCUGAGAGGACGACCAGCCACACUGGAACUGAGACACGGUCCAGACUCCUACGGGAGGCAGCAGUGGGGAAUUUUGGACAAUGGACGCAAGUCUGAUCCAGCCAUUCCGCGUGCAGGAUGAAGGCCCUCGGGUUGUAAACUGCUUUUGUACGGAACGAAAAGGUUUCUAUUAAUACUAGGAGCUCAUGACGGUACCGUAAGAAUAAGCACCGGCUAACUACGUG